rnacentral:rRNA from 1 species
CCUACGGGAGGCAGCAGUAGGGAAUCUUCCACAAUGGGCGAAAGCCUGAUGGAGCAACGCCGCGUGGGUGAAGAAGGUCUUCGGAUCGUAAAACCCUGUUGUUAGAGAAGAAAGUGCGUGAGAGUAACUGUUCACGUUUCGACGGUAUCUAACCAGAAAGCAACGGCUAACUACGUGCCAGCAGCCGCGGUAAUACGUAGGUGGCAAGCGUUAUCCGGAUUUAUUGGGCGUAAAGGGAACGCAGGCGGUCUUUUAAGUCUGAUGUGAAAGCCUUCGGCUUAACCGGAGUAGUGCAUUGGAAACUGGGAGACUAGAGUGCGGAAGAGGAGAGUGGAACUCCAGGUGUAGCGGUGAAAUGCGUAGAUAUAUGGAAGAACACCAGUGGCGAAGGCGGCUCUCUGGUCUGUAACUGACGCUGAGGUGCGAAAGCGUGGGUAGCAAACAGGAUUAGAUACCCGGGUAGUC